UGAAGGGAGCUUGCUCCCUGAUUUAGCGGCGGACGGGUGAGUAAUGCCUAGGAAUCUGCCUGGUAGUGGGGGAUAACGUUCCGAAAGGAACGCUAAUACCGCAUACGUCCUACGGGAGAAAGCAGGGGACCUUCGGGCCUUGCGCUAUCAGAUGAGCCUAGGUCGGAUUAGCUAGUUGGUGAGGUAAUGGCUCACCAAGGCGACGAUCCGUAACUGGUCUGAGAGGAUGAUCAGUCACACUGGAACUGAGACACGGUCCAGACUCCUACGGGAGGCAGCAGUGGGGAAUAUUGGACAAUGGGCGAAAGCCUGAUCCAGCCAUGCCGCGUGUGUGAAGAAGGUCUUCGGAUUGUAAAGCACUUUAAGUUGGGAGGAAGGGCAGUAAGCUAAUACCUUGCUGUUUUGACGUUACCGACAGAAUAAGCACCGGCUAACUUCGUGCCAGCAGCCGCGGUAAUACGAAGGGUGCAAGCGUUAAUCGGAAUUACUGGGCGUAAAGCGCGCGUAGGUGGUUCGUUAAGUUGGAUGUGAAAGCCCCGGGCUCAACCUGGGAACUG
rnacentral:rRNA from 1 species